rnacentral:lncRNA from 1 species
AGAGGGAGGAGUUAAGGAGACAGACAGAGAGAGAGAGAGAUCUGAGGAGAAGAGGGAGAACCAAAAUGGAGGCUGACGUGGUGUUAUCAAAGUGGAGUGACCAGGGCUGACAGGUAUUCUGACAUCUGCUCCCUGAGAGGUGACGUGGGAAGUCCUGCACUGUGAGUCCAUUGAGUAGGACACACCCAGGCCUCUUCUUUUCUCCAGGAUAUGUGCAAGAUGAGAGCCAGCCAUCGUCUCCUGAUAGUGGAGAUUUGAUCUGAAGCAUUCAAAUAGGAAAUGAAUGCUCAGAGGAAGCUUCAAAUUUCUUUCUACUUGAAGAAGCUGAAUUGCAGAAGCUAUCUCUGUCCUGUUAAUCACCGGGUCCACAGUGAAACCAGCCAACUUCAGAGAAGACUCUUGUGCUGCGUGACCCCUGACUGUAACCAAGUGUCCUUCUCUCUGAGACGUUCCCUCGGAGCUUGUUCUCACAGCCCUCACCUCCAGUGACCUCCACGAACUUUUCCACACGAGGGGUUCUCUGCUUCCCUCCAUCUGAGCUGCGCAAUUCCACCAGGCCUUUUGCUCCUCUUCAGUCAGGUGCUUUGGAGGUAAUGAAGUCUUUCGGGGGAAAAAUAAACAAAGGAAAUGCACCCGGUUGAUGUCAAUGGACUUGUUUAACUAUUUAAGGCCACUGUCUCCAAGUGUAAGUGUGCUGCGGUGUGUUUUGUAAAGUAGCGCUUAUAAUCCACUGAGCUUUCCAAACAGCCCUCUUGCCUAUUAAGCCUGCAUUGAGAAGUGGGUUUAAUUUGCCAGAGUAGUUUUUUGUGAUAAUUACAGGACUUGCAGAUUAGCUUGAGUGACUUGGCAAGGUUCUGUAGCUAAUAAAAAAUCACACAGGAAAAAAAUUGUAACAUUCAAUUGCUUCAAGGUUCUUCACGAGAGAAACAUUAAACAAACCUGAUAGGCCAGUUUCCAGUCUGUGAAGUAGCAGAGAUAAAAUAGAGAUUUUAAAAGAUGUUUACUCGGGAGUAACAGAGGGGAUUGUUUGCUAGCUGCGGGAAGGAUUAGAACUGCCCAGCCUUUGGGCUAGUAAAGGUGUAUUAAAAGUAACUGGUGUGUGUGGGGAGGGUGGGGUGAAGCGAGCACAUGUGACCAUCCGGGAGCAACGUGGUUAGCCAAAGUACCGCUACACAUGCCUGUUUGUGGUCCUAGAAUUUGGAAAGGGGGAGGGAGCUUGAAAAGUUAGAUAUCAAUGCUCUCUCUCUCUCUCUCUCUCUCUCUCUCUCUCUCUCUCUGUGUGUGUGUGUGUGUGUGUGUGUGUAUAGAACCCGUUUUUAAUCCCAGCACUCAAGAGGCAGAAGCAGAGGGAGGUGGUCUCUGAAUUUGAGGCCAGCCUGGUUUACACAAUAUAUUCCAGGUCAGCCAGAGCUACAAAAAUCAUCUUGAAAACCCUAAAGAGGUCUGGUGAGAUGGCUUAGUGGUUGGGAGCACUGACUGCUCUUCCAGGGGUCCUGAGUUCAAUUCCCACCAACCACAUGGUGGCUUACUGUAAUGGGAUCCAGUGCCCUCUUCUGGGGUGUCUGAAGACGGCAACUGUGUACUCACAUGCAUACAAAUACAUAAAUAAAUAAAUUGUUUAAAAAGUUGACUAUAUAUAAAAAAAGGGGGGGGGAGAAAUCCUAAGGAAAAAAGAAAAAAGAAAAGAAAAAUUUGAGGUCAGUUUGAAAACCCUCUUAAAGAAGAUUAGGGGAAAAAAAGUAAACAAAGGCUGGGGGUGUAGUUUGGUUGGUACAGUGCUGGCCAGCAGCCAGAAUGUCCUGGAUUCAGCUAAUCUUUUGGUUGCCAAAACCAGGCAUGGUGAAAGAGCUCUAGCCAGCAGCCAUGGGUGUGGGAGGAUCAGAAGUUCAAGGUCAUUCGCAGACUUCGUGGAGAGUUUGAGGCUACUCUGGGCUUUAAGAGACCCUGACCCUGUCUCAAAAUAAACAAAAGAGAAAUAUCAAAAAAUAAAAUAUUUCAGAGAAAUAACUAAGUUUCUUAUAAAAAUUAAUUCAUACAUCUUAUGCAUAUGAAUAUUUUGUAUGUACGUCUAUUUGUCACAUUCUUGCUUGGUGCCCCAGAAGGCCAGAAGAGUUCAUCAGAUCCUCGGGAUCUGGAGUUACAGAUGGUUAUGAGCCACCAUGUGGGUGCUUGGAAUUGAACUUGGGCCCUAUGGAAGAACAGCCAGUACACUUAAUCACUGAGCCAUCUCCCCAGACCCCUAAAUAUCUUAUUGCACAAACUCUCAUUAAGUCUUUAAGCAUGACCAUGCUACAAGUUUUGCCUUCCACAGAUAGUUACUGUUUUACUCUGAUUAUCUACUGCAAUCUGCUCUGAGCAAUACUCCACACACACACACACACACACACAAAAAUAAUAAUAAAUAAAAUAACUGUCAGUGAGCUGGCAAGGCGGUAUAUGUCUGCAUCGUCAGGACUCAGGAAGCAGUGGCAGGUACAUGGCGAGUUUGGAGCUAGCUUGGACUAUACACAGAGUUCUAGGCCAGCCUACGCUAUAGCUCUAGAAUGAACUCCUGCUUUCAAAAGCAGGGAAUGUUUCAGAGACUCAAGGAAAGGAACUUGGCAGGCAGGCACCCAGGGUUCACAGUGUGGUGGCUGUGAGCCUGGCCCCUACAGUUAGGACUUCCAACUACAGCAAGAAGCUCAUUCAUCUUAUAAAGCUGCUGCCUUGAGGUCAAGCGGAGCAAGCACAGGCUAACUGCCUUGCAGUGGGCAACUGAUGAAGGGGGAUUAUUGCCUUUAGUUUGGGUAUUUUUUAAUUCUUUGAUGUUUUGUAGCGGAGGUGGGGGAGGGAGUUAUAAGGAACUUUUUUUUUUAAUCCUAAGCUAUCUAUAACUCAUGGCAAUGAUUAUACCUUUGUAAACAGAAAUGAAACACAUUUUUCUCUUUGCUUGAUCCUUUCCAAAUUCAGAAAUUCUGAUUGAAUAUUCCUAUUUCCAUGGUAAUCUUAUUAUUUGCAACACAUUCAGUGAGAACGCGUCCCCUUUGUGACAGAGUAUAACAGGAAAGUGGUAGAAACAUCAGAUAUGACCACACGGUUAUAAUAACUUACUGCAGAACUGGGCGAGGUGACCUUAGGUUAGGGUCGCCUCCCCUAAUGCACCUCCCUGACAAAGCACCCAACAGGGAUCAGACAGGUUAAGGGAGUUUGAAAGUGUAUUCAGGAGAAGGGCAGUGUAUCUUUUGUGCCACCUAGGAAAAGAAGCAUUCAAGAGAAAGAACUAGUCCCAAGCCUUGUUCUGGUAUGGCUUCCUAGUGUCAAGGGGCUUUGUGUGUAGUAUCUGUGUGUGUUAUUCACACAAAGGCCAGAAGACUACAUACAGAAAUCAACUCUCUCUUUCUACUGAACUCAGGUCAUCAAGCUUGGUGGCAGACAUCUUCAAUCACUGAGCCAAGUCUGGUCCCAUAGUAUUUUUUACGAACGAGCCUGAAAUUCACAGAUCCGACUGUGUUGGCUGGCCAGGCAUGUCCAUGGAUCCCCCUGUGUCUGCCCUGACAGAACUGGGCUUACAAGCUACCUUGCCCAACUUUUACGUGGAUGCUGGGGAUUUCAGUUUAGGGUCUCACAUUUGCAUAGCAAGAACUUUACCUCACUGAGCCGUUUCCCUGACUUCCUAGGAAGCAUUUAAAAAAUAUAGUCUGAAUCCAUAUGGAAAAUACCAGCCAAGAAAACUCUAAAUACCAAUGUGGCUCUGUACCAUUUGUGUUUUAUUGAUGUAGUGACCAGGACAACUCUAAUUAGACCAGAAUUAUUUUGCAAACAGUAUCAGAGUAGAGUAACCACACAUGUGUCACAGGAAAUUGUCCCUGGGCUGCACUGGGUCUUCCUGCUUUGAAGGGGGUAGUGGGGAAAAGGUGGACAGAGGUUCUCUCUCUGGAAUGAACUUUAUAGUCAGGCUUCCUGUCAAGUUCUCUUCUUUAGCAGGCUGUCCCCAGGUUCCUAACCUGCACUCAUUGUUCUAAGAAUUAAGUUGAGUCAUUCAGAGGCAAUCUGACUAUCUAAUUAAAUUCCUCCUUCUGUCCUUUUGGCACCUGAUAACUAUAGCCCAUCUUCUACAAGAAUCCUACUGAGUCAGUUUAACUAGGAGCCCUUGAUGUAAUUUUCCAUUCUCUGGCCUUUCUGUUCACAGAAGCACUCACUCUUUGGUUAUGAAUCCUGCCCUUGUUGUGUUUGGAGGAGAGCCCAGUCUUCUCCCCACUUGUAAUAAUCUUGACACCUUUCACAGUGGUUCUGAACAAAGUCUUUUAUACACUUAGCAUGUGUCAAUAUUUUCUUUAGCAGGACUUUGGGUCCCUAACCUGCAACUCAGCACUCAGUCCAUCAUGGGCUUUGCUAGUCUCUGUGACUUCUCCAGGGCAGGAAAGUGACAGGUUUCUGCGCAAGGGAGCCCGAGGUACCUGGUUCAGGAUGGAGAGGGCACUUGAGAGGCGUCAAAAGCAAGCACAGUUAGAGGACAUCAGCGAUGUUAAAACCCCACGAGGGUCAACAGUAGCCCAGGCAAAAUAAAGGAGCCUGAAGUGGAAAAACAGAAAUGGAACAAGACGUUUGUUCUGGAGCACGUGAGAUUGUCCUUCUAAGACAUUUCCAGAAGUAUUCAAAGGAAGAUUUAAUGGGAAAUCAUUAUGCAAAAGAGUCAGUAAUAUAUUUUAGUUUCAAAAAGUACGGAGCGUGACGCCUGUCAAUUAUACCUUCUGCAAAGGUGAGUGGCGGUUGUCCUUGCUGUUCCAAAAUGCAAAGAGAAACAAACAAACAAACAAACAAGCAAACCAGCUACUCCUAUUCCGCACUCCAAACACCAAGCAGAAAUGCUUCUGGGACAAACUGAGCUUCAUUCUUUAUGAAAAUGAAAACACUUCUUUCUGUGCACUAGGAAAAUGUUCUGCCUCUGAGCUGCAAAACCAGCACCAAACUUGAAAAGUUUGUGCAUCAAAGGAAAAAGGCAACCUACAGGAUGGGGGAGAAUAUUUGCAGGACACAUGUCCUGGAAGGAAUACAUAUUUAGACUGAAUAAAAUGAGUAAGAGGAGGGAUAGGGAGUUCGUGUUCAAUGUUGAGAGCUUGGGACAGUUGAGAAAACGCUCCGGAGUGUUCUGCAGAUGAAUGAUGGUGACGACUGCAUCAGUGUGAAUGUCCUUAACGCCGUCAAAAAUUGGUUAUAAUGGCAAAUUUUAUGCUACAUAUGUUUUACUACAAUAAAAAUGCCAGGAAAAUCUAACUGCUCCAAAUCCUGAAUUUAUUAACCCAAUAAAUUAGGAGAUGGUUAUUGACCUAUAAAUGGAUUUGUCAAUUUUUAAAAUGAUUUCCUUUAAAUUGAAUUCUUUCCUAGAGCUUUAUUGUCUCUUCACAAACCAUUAAACACUUGUUAAAGUGUUCAGAGAGGGCUGAGAUGGAGGAGGAAGUGAAAACCAAACAAACAGAUGAGGGACCUUCCCCAAAUGAUGUCUGCUAACAGGCUUCUUGGGUAUUCUAUUUAUAUAGAUUUUACAAGUGUUUUAUUUGAGAGGAAAAAUCCCUAGACCUUACAUAGUACAAUGAACUUCUUAUGCCUGUCAGCUAGAUUUAUUAAUUUUUAACGAGGUGUAUUACUUUUAAAAGCUAUCUAUUUACUAUUGGGGGAGGGAGAAGGACAAAGGACAUCUUGCAGAAGUCUGGUCUCUCCUGCUAUGUGGGUUCUGGAGAUAGGAAAUCAGGCAGGUUGUCAGGCCUAGAAGCAAAGGCCUGUCUGCACUGAGCCAUCUUACUUGUCUUAUUUUGUUACUUUUGAUGACCUAUUUUAGACAUCACUAUUCUAUAGCCCUAAGUAUAACUUCAAGUAUGUAUCUUCCACAAUGACUUUAUGACCAUGAAAUCAAUUCAAGAAAUUUAACAUGUAUGCAGUUCUAUCCAGCGUACAUACAGAUUUCUCAUCCCCCCUUUUACUGUAGUUUAUAGAAAAAGCAAUUCUCUUCCAUAUCUAGAGUUUGACAAGGAAUAUGCAUUGCAUUUGGUUUCUGUGUUCUUUAAUCUCUUGUUGUACAGAACUUCAACCUUUCAUGACAGGUUGAACAAUUUUGGAUCAUACAGGCUGUCAUGGUUUGAAUAUGUUUGGCCCAGGGAGUGGUACUGUUAGGGGUGUGGUCUUCUUGGAAUAGGUGUGUCACCGUGGGCGUGGGCUUUAAGACCCUCAUCCUUAGCUUCUGGAAGUCAGUCUUCCACUAGCAACCUUCAGAUGAAGAUGUAGAACUCUCACCAUCUCCUGCACUAUACCUGCCUGGAUAUCGCCAUGUUCCUGCCUUGAUGAUUAUGGACUGAACCUCUGAACCUGUAAGCCAGCCCCAAUUAAAUUUGUCCUUAUAAGAGUUACCUUGGUCAUGGUGUCUGUUCACAGCAGUAAAACCCUAACUAAGACACAGGCCAAUUACAGAAUGUCUCUUUUUGGUGUGUGCAGUGUUAAAGUUUGAAGCACAAGCCUAAUGCUUGUUAGACAAGCACUCUACCGCUGCUCUACAUCAGCAGCUCAGUGUGCCUCUUGUCUUGAUGGGCUCAUUGUUUUUUAUGACCCAGUGCAUUGGGGUGAGCAGCUCACACAGGUACGAAGGGGUCCCUCUCAGAGCUUAACAUCAGGGAACUCAAUGUUGGUUUGUCUGUUCUAUUUCAGCUGAGCUAGUAUCUGGCAGUUCCCCACAACCCCCAUCAAGUUACCACUUUUUUCUUUGUAAUUGUAAUUUGCAAAGAAAUAUUUGCAAGAUUAAGUAAUAGACUACACAACGUGUUUUAGCUUCCACUGAGCAUUCAGCCUGAACUGUUUUAUAAAGUUAUGAAAUGAUAGAUUUCCAACUUAAUAAUUAUUUUAAAGACUUAUUUUAUUUUUAGUUCUGCAUGUAUGCCUGUGUGUGCACGUGUGUACCUAUGUAUCUGUAUGGUUAUGUGCACAUGAAUGCAGAUGUCCAAGGAGAAGAGGCCAGACACAUUGGAUCCCUGGUGCUCAAGUGGGAGGUGGCUGUCAGCUGCUGUAGGAAGGUGAUGGGAACUCAGCUUGAGUCCUUUGCAAGAACAGCAUGAGCUCUUAAACACAGAGCCACAUCUUCAGUCCCUCUCUUAUUUUUUUAAAAAUUAUUCUCUCUCUGUGUAUGUGUGUGUAUACAGAGGUCAGAGGAUCAUUUUUGUAAAAUUAGUUCUCUCUACCUUUUUUUGUGGGCUCUGGGGACUAAACUCAAGUUGUUGGGAUUUUGUGACAAGUGCUGUAUCCACUGAGCCCUCUCACAUGCCCUUAAAUGUUAUUUUAAAUAAUAGCAAAUGAGUACGUUCAAGCAUACGAGAAUAAGCAUGUCCUAUUGAUUUGAAUAUGCAAAAGUAUGCCAAUUUUUUAAAUCUCUAUUACCAAGUGGACAAGUAUUCCAUUUUAUCUCCAAAAGUAAAGAUUUCUUUUAGAUACAGUCAUGUGGAUUAUACAACUUGACUGAAGCCAUGUCUCCAAGAUACAUACCUAGAGGGUAAAGGGAAUGCUUUAAAGGAGCGUGAUUAUGAAUAUCCAAGCUGAAAAUAAACACUAAUUACUAACAAAAAGGAUUACUGAGAAAAAUAUGGGUUGGUUUUCAGUACUUGACUCUGUAAAGUUAUUUCUUUUCUUAUUUAGUUUUUAUUCAUAAUCAUAAACUUAACUUUGCCAUCCAGCUAGACUUGAAGGGGAAUGAGGAAAAUAUGGAACCCAAAGAACUUGAGCAGAGAUUACAGGGUAUUUCAAGCAGAUGGGGUAGGGAUGCUCUCCUGCGCUACAGAAGGAAUGGUUGGAUGGGUAAAAUGCCUGCAAGUCAAAAGAAAUUAGAGUUAUCCACAGUCGGAAAUGGUCUUGCUGGUCUUUCCAUUCCUGGACCCAAAACACUCCAUGGCUUCCACAAUGUUCAUGCCUUCUUUCACCUUCCCAGACACCACAUGCUUGCCAUCCAGCCACUUAGUCUUGGCAGUGCAGAUAAAAAACUGGGAACCGUUUGUGUUGGUCCAGUAUUUGCCAUGGACAAGAUGCCAGGACCUGUAUGCUUCAGGAUGAAGAUCUCAUCCUCAAAUUUCUCUCCAUAGAUGGAUCUGCCGCCAGUGCCAUUAUGGCAUGUAAAGUCACCACCCUGGCACAUGAAUCCUGGAAUAAUUCUGUGAAAGGAGGAACCCUUCUAGUAAAAUCCUUUCUCUCCAGUGCUCAGAGCAUGAAAGUUUCCCGCUGUCUUUGGAACUUUGUCUGCAAACAGCUGGAAGGAGACUCUUCAAGGGCUCGUCAUCGGCCGUGAUGUCAGAGAACACGGUGGGGUCGACUGUGGCUACAGCAAGAGGACCAACGGUACUGUUGCUCUAGCUACAGGAAUAAUCCUGGGCAGCACUUGUUGACCUUGGUCACUGUCAAGGGAAGAUCGGCUGUUCCCACUGAGGGCAUCUUGAUGGAUUAAGGUGAUCAGCUGAUCAAUGUGAGGGGACAGAUGGGAGCUAGGAACUGUCUCGGUACUGAGUCAUUUUUCAUCUAAUGUGCAAGAAACCCAAAGAGCACAUCAAACAGCGAACUACGCCUAAGCUAUCCAUGUUUCUCCUGCUUCUUCUGAGAGGGUGAUUUACACGUAGCUCAACACUCGAGUGUUGCAGUAUCGAGUGACUGCAACCAAACAAUGGAACAUGCAUCGUGCCUGUUGACAGAGCCUGCAGUUGGCUUGGAACCGGGACCAUGCUGCAUUCGACAUCGUUCCUGGUGGCUGACUUGUUCCCAUAGAAUUAAAUGCUAGGCAUCCAGAAGCUGACUGUGCAUCUGAUGGGCUCACUAACAUUCAGGAACAGGUUGGCCUCAGACUUCAUCAAUGGAAAGUGAGCUGAAGUCUUUCUGUUUACAAAUUUGCCAAUUUCCUUUGAGGAAGCUUGAUCACGGAGCUCUUCUGCAUCAGGUGAUUGAUGCCCUGCAGGUACUUCAAGCAACAUCAUGCAUAUCAAACCUGCCCUCUGCCUGGACUGUUUACAGCUGCCUUUUUGCUAGCUGAACUGCCUGACACUUCGGCUCAAAGACUCAUUUAUCACUGAGGGCGCAUGCCGUUAUCUGAGCACCUUCCGAAGCAUCACACGCCAUCUCUAGACUUCCUGGGAUUGUCUACGGAUACAACACUUGCUCUCAUAAGUUGGUUACAUAAACAUAAAAGAAUGAACUUUAAACUAAAAUUUCUGACUUUUAUCUCUUUGCAGUGUAGGCAUAGGACAAAAAAAAGAGCACGUUUGAAAGACUACAUUUUCAUGAAAUUGGAAAUGCUACAUGCAAGCUGCAGAUGCUGAUUGCAGAGUCAGAAGACAUGGCCGUCAGUGUUAGGACUCUGCCUUAUUCUGCUAUUUCUCCUUGACGACCUACAGUUUGCAUUGUGGGUGGCAUUCAUUAACGAGGGCAGUAAAAACAUGGAGAAAACAUUGCAAGCUCUCCUUCGUGUUUCGCUCACUGGCCAAGUAGCUAACCAACUAGGUGUUCAGGCUCCCAUGUGUCUCAAUAUGAUGUGGCUCCUUCCAGUAGCAACCAUCCUGAGCAGAGACCUUUGUUCUAAUUUAAAAAUUAGACAUGAUAUAGAGCUUACCACACAUUUUUCCCCCUGAAGAUUAAAGAUCUUCAUGAAGGUACUGGCUUAAAAGACAUCAACCCCAAGCCUUUCGAAGGAUAUGCACUUGAGAUUGCCAUACUCGAUGGUGCGUCCAAUUAACUUAGAAAUACCCUUGACAUUUCUCAUCCGUGAAGAGAAGCUUUAGGUGACAGUUUUCAUGGUGUGGGUACUCUCGGUGCCUAAUUUGCUUUUUUUUCUUGUUUUCAAGCCUGAAAGGGAAAUAGCCUUGGCUUUCAGCUCUGGAGCGCGAUGCCCUCCUUACGAGUAUUCAGCUACUGUCUGAACCAUUGUACUUGCCUUCCCCUCCAUACCCCUUUUUCCCCAAAGUCCCGUUGAUAGCUCAUU